UGAUUAUUGAACAUGGUGUUGUUAAGGG
rnacentral:piRNA from 1 species